UACGGAGGGUGCAAGCGUUAUCCGGAUUCACUGGGUUUAAAGGGUGCGUAAGCGGGUAAGUAAGUCCGUGGUGAAAUCUCUGAGCUUAACUCAGAAACUGCCGUGGAUACUAUUUGCCUUGAAUAUUGUGGAGGUGAGCGGAAUAUGUCAUGUAGCGGUGAAAUGCUUAGAUAUGACAUAGAACACCAAUUGCGAAGGCAGCUCACUACACAAUCAUUGACGCUGAGGCACGAAAGCGUGGGGAUCAAACAGG
rnacentral:rRNA from 1 species